CAUAUUUCCACCAUGCUGGGGUCCACCAAACUCAAAAGUUUCUCGCCAGCCCUCUCCUGUUACUAAUCAUUAAUCUCUCUCAAGCUUGUAUCCCAACCCACAGAUGGUGCUUCUACAUCCAAGCGGCAUGGCAACAGGAUGGCACCACCCGCUCUCAGUUUAUGGGCCAAGGCGAUUGCCCUUUCACUGGCUGUAAUUGGGCCCUUAAUGUUACUGGAUUCAACUAGGCCACCUCAUCCCACUUAUGUUUAGCAAUACUAUGCUUCAUAGCAUAUCAAACUGAGGAAUCCUGUUGAAGCCAUAUCACCAGGAGGCUGCCCCACCUGCUGACAACAAGACAACCCCAGAGGAGCUUCAAGAGUCAUCUCCUAGACCUCCCCUUUACUCCUGCUCUCCACAUCCCAACUAUCCUCUAAAGCUUCGCCUGUCCUGCGUAACCACACAUACUCCACCAUGACUCCCACUCUUCUAAUUGGUAUUUUCACUGUCAUCACCCUUCUCCCAGGGACAUCAUCGUCCUCCUCUUGUACUUGGAGAUUCAAAGUUAGAGAGACAUAUGUCCAAGGCAGCACUCGUUAUACUUGCCUGGUUUCUUCAGUUGAUUGCGCCCCUACAAGAUGUAAUGCAUCUAUCUUCCUUCCCCUCUCCUCCCAGAAUUCUGAACUUUUAAAAACAGCCACUAGGCCUUACCUUUGCUUCUUAUAUGAUCAGACACAG
rnacentral:lncRNA from 1 species